rnacentral:misc_RNA from 1 species
GGCGGGUUCGGAUUUGGAGGAGGCCGGGGCGCGGCAGGACGGGCAGUACCAGUCGCCGGCGGGGACGCGCGGGAGGAUGGGGCGGAGGCAGAAGAUGUGGAACCCGCAGUCGCACCCGUCGCACAGCAUCAGCUCCGCGGCCGCGUCCCCGGACCCGCACGCCUCGCACCUCACGUCGUCGUCGGCGGCGGCGGCCUCCGGCCCUGGACCUGGCGGCGUCCGCGCCCGGGUCCGGCGACGGAGCUGGCUCGCGGCGCCCAUCUGUCUACCGCACGCGGGAUCCGAGAUGUCGGGCGGGGACUGGUGGAGUGGAGGUGGGCGCGUCGGCGGGUGG